AAAGAAAAAAAAACAGAUGUUCCACCAGACAGGAUUAAAUAUAGCCACUGAUUAGCCAGACAUUGUUCUCUGUGUAGGCCUCUAAGAUUAUACCACUUAACGCGGCAUGUCACUUUGCGUCCCCUGAGACAGUUUGGGCCACAAAGCUAGCUAUGAUGAUUACUUUUGUUUUUCAAGCCCAUACAGCGUCCGUACAGACACAUCCACAAUAAGUGGGCAAGACGGCUAAAGGGGUACAUACCCUUUUUAUUAUUUCCUGUGCAUAAAAGGGACCAAUAUCCUAGUCAAAAGAUGCCUCCCGCACCACAGGAUUCGAACAAGACCUUUCGUGGAAUCCCACAGGUUGUAGCUAGUGGUGGAGGCCCCCCAAGGACUGCAACUCGACCGGGAAACAAGUUGGGAUGCAUGGAGGUGGAAAUCCUGAACCCUCAAACGGGAAGGCCCAUGUAUGUUAUUGAUUAGAGGGCAUUGAUACUCAAUGGAGAUGUGUGAGCCUACCCCUGCAUGACAAUCUUCAAUCACGGCGCUUCUGACAGUCGCUGAGAGGUAGAGUGGGA
rnacentral:lncRNA from 1 species